CAUUCUCAUAAUGAUGAGAAAAUUAAUUUGUUUUGUUUUAUUGCUUACUUUAAUUUCAUUCUCUGGAGGUCAAAAAUGCGAACAUAGGACUGAAAGUGGUGAGGUAAAAGAUGUAUGCUGUGCCGAUCAUGAAGCACACGCAAGUGGUUGCAUUCCCUGUUCUAAAGGAUACACAUCAAAGAUUGGACAAAGCUGCAGACCGUGUCCAAAAAACACAUAUGGCGAACGAUGUGCAAAUGACUGUAAUUGCCCAGUGUU